UCAAUUGGGAGGAGUGGACCUGCAGGAUCUGCAGGGAUGUGACUGAAUUGCCUUCAGGCUGAAAAGGAAGCUGCACACACAGUUCACAUUUCCUAGGUUUCUCAACAAAUCAAAGCAAGGAAGAAGCAAUGAAGCUGUGCUGGGAAUAGUGCUGAUGCUGACAUGUUUUGCAACAGCAAUCCCUUGUAAAUGAAGGUCCCACUUGACACCUCAGGCAACAGGGCAGGAGGCAUGCUGCUACAUACAUUCAUGCACCUGUAUUUAAUGCACCAAGCCUGUCACACAAGCCCCCUCACCUGGGUGUCAACUAGCCCUGACCAGCAUGCAGCAGAUAAAUCCUCAGGGAGAUGGGCUUCUUGCCUGCCUGUGCUGUCUUGUUCAGCAAAGAGGCAGACAGCACAUGCCCACCACCACCAUCUGGAAGGAGAUACUUUUCCUAGAGGGGAGCCCUGACCCUCCAGUCCAAGGGCUCUCCCUUGUCUCUCACAGAUCGCUGCUUGGAGGAUACAAGAAUACCGUCAAGGAAAUUAUAGUGUGCAGAAGGUGGCCCUAAGUAGACUGAUCCUGGACUCAUUUUUAUAGUAUCUCUAAGUUUCCAGAUGCCGAUUUUCCUUGUCUUUACCUUUUCUUUGCCCUUGUGAGGAGCUCCAUCCCUCUCUCUUUCUGCUCUGCUCUGAGCCAGCAGGAUUAACUAACACUGGACGAAUGAGAAAAGCCAGCUGUGGUGAGAUCCUAAUCUCACCCUUUCCAGGGGCUAGUUCAUUCCCAGUGGACUCAUAAAUUUUUGGAAACCUAACUUUCCAGCUGAGUGUGGCUAAACAUCAGUGGUAGAUAUUCUUCUGUUAUUGUUGGGAGGGGGAGGUUUCUGUUGUGAUUUUGUUUUGGUUUGGGUUUUUUUGGGUUUUAAAAUAUAUAUAUGAAAUAUAAAUCUGAGGUGACAAAGGGGCUGGGUAUAGUUUUGUUUAUAUUUUUUAAAUUUGUGUGUAUUUUUAAAAUUCCUGUUGCAUAAAAGAAAAAUAUUUUUCUCUAAAUCUGGUAUGUGCUGAAUGGUUUUUGUGAGAUUGCUUAUGAACUUUGAUUAUACAA